GAUGGAUGCUGCCUGCUCCAAUUAAUUUGAGAAUCAGUUCAUCUCACCUCAAAAUGCUAAGCAAAAGCUAUGGUCCUGUCCUCGUGGUGUGCUGAGCUCAUGGGAGGACGUGAAAUGAUUUGCACAAGGAGGUAUGAAGACACAAAAACCUCCUGGAUCCAUCUACAUGGCGAAUAGGGGGUCCAGGACUGCAAAUGAUUCAAAGGGCCCUAAACAGGAGCUCGCUAUGGAAAAACAUUCUGUUCUUCCUUUUUUGGAAAGUCCAGGCCCCUUUUGGAGGCAGAAGUUUGCUUUUCCUAACUCCAUGGGGUGCCCAGCUCUCAGGAGCAGCCUGCUUUGGAAGGUGGCCCCACCGCCAGCUUUAAGUAGGCCUGGCAUUUGUGUCCUUGUGUCCAACCCACUGGGCUCCAUGACAGACAGAUGGAGUUGAUUCUAAACUGACCUGCUGAGCUUGGGUAUGAUGCGUUCAGACAUGAAAUCUUGAUUAACGACAAAUGUUAAUUGAAGCAGUGAAUUAUUAAAGUGUUUUUCUAUGAAUGAUAAAUGCUGUUGUUGGCUGUUUUGCCUCUUAUGACAUCAUAAAACUUUCCAAGAAGUUGUUAGCUUUGCCCAUGGAAAAUGGAAGGAGGUAGUAGCAUUUGCUGGCAUUUUUGGUGAUCUGCUUCUGCUCUGUGGCCAGGCCUGGCUGGAGAUGACACUGCCUUUUCUCCUGGAAUCACACAUCGCCUCAACCAAACAAACAAAUCCUCUUUCUGUUAAAUGCAGAACUCUCUCCAAGUGAUCUCAGCCAGCCUCCUAGCUUCAGUUCCCACCAAUAGUUGAUGACUCCUAGUCUUUACCUCAAAGUAGAUUUUCCCCUAAGCUCCAGAAUUAUAAACAAGAUUAUUAUUUGACAACUCCACCUGAUCCCCCAUGGGAUCUCAAACUCAUAUUCAUUCAUUUAACAAAUAUUUAUCAAGUACCUCCCUUAUGUCCCUAGUGCCACUUUGUUCUAAGCACUGGGGAAACAAUAAUGAACAAAAUAGAUACAGGUCUUUGUGAAAGUUACAUUCCAGUGGGGAGGGGAGGAGACAGAUAAACUAAGGCAGGGACAGGAGAGCAGAGAGUGCUGAGCAUUGGAGGUGGUGGUGGCAGUGGUAGGGGUUUCUAUAAGGUGCUCAGGGGACACCCCCCUUAGAUGACAUUUGAGCAGAUACUUAGAAGAAGUUCUAGAUGGAUCUAAGAUUUAAACAUAAAAAAUGAGACUAUAAAUAUUCCAAAUCAUCUGUCUUUCUUUUCAAACUUUCCCCUUGUCUUGCAUUCACAAUCUUGCGGAAUGUUGCACCCAGUCACUAGAGUCACAUUCGUGGGGGUCGUCUUCCUCCUUGGCCUCUAUGCUUACGGGAGAAAGCAUCCUCUUGCUCAUCCUGAAUUCCUGCCAGCCCCAAGCAGGAACUUACACCUUCACAGAGGCAUCAGGUAGGAUUAUCUACCUCUUGUCCACCUUUCACUGGCUCCUCCCCAUAGGAGAAGGAGUGAUGCAUCAAAUAGGGAAGAUGGAGAGGGUCUCUCAUCUACUGGUCCAGUUUCUCUAGCACUCUCUGGCAACGCUUCUCAAACUUUAAUGUUCAUAGGAGUCAGCUGGGGACUCUCAUUCAAAUGCAGUCUCUGAUCCAGUUGGUCUUUGCUAGGGUCUGAGAUUCUGCAUUUCUAUUAAACUCUCAGGUAAUGCUGGUGCUGCUGGUCUGUGGGCCAUACUCUGAGGAACAAAGGUCUACAGGGUAUGAGAAGGCUUCAGUCCUUCACACUGAGCACCUUCUCAGCAGCUCCAGCUCUCCUCGCAUGUGGGGCCCCAUAUACGGUCUUGAGAGCAAGUGUUAGGAAGCCCAUUUUCACUUCAAAUCCAAGCCAAAUAUUGCCAUCCAGAUUUAUCAGAAUAAAUCCUAUAUGUUGAUUUCUAUUUGACA
rnacentral:lncRNA from 1 species